GGGUUGUGGCUCAUUGGUAGAGUGUUUGCCUAGCAUACAGGAGGCCUGGGUUCAAUCCUCAGCCGAGCUCA
rnacentral:tRNA from 1 species